UAGGUGGACGAUUAAGUCAGAGGUGAAAUCCUGCAGCUCAACUGUAGAAUUGCCUUUGAUACUGGUUGUCUUGAAUCAUUGUGAAGUGGUUAGAAUAUGUGGUGUAGCGGUGAAAUGCAUAGAUAUCACAUAGAAUACCGAUUGCGAAGGCAGAUCACUAACAAUGUAUUGACACUGAUGGACGAAAGCGUGGGGAGCGAACAGGAUUAGAUACCCUGGUAGUCCACGCCGUAAACGAUGGAUACUAGCUGUCCGGACUUCGGUCUGGGUGGCUAACNAAAGUGAUAAGUAUCCCACNUGGGGAGUACGUNCNCAGAAUGAACUCAAGGAAUUGACGGGGNCCNCNCAACGGG
rnacentral:rRNA from 1 species